rnacentral:lncRNA from 1 species
AGUUCCUGCCCUCAGAGGUUUCCAGUCCUACCUGGGCUGAAGAGAUUUCAAUAACAAUAUGGUAGAUCAAGGGGAGGUGGUGGAUGAAAAAGCAAGGAUGAGGCAGGGCAUGGUAGAGUGGAACUCCUGGAGGGCGAAGCGGUAGCUAUCCGUGAGGGCAGAAAUUAGGAUUAGCAUAGAGUGCAGAGGGGAAAAUGGAAAUACUUGUGUUUUGGUGUUGUAAAUUUGAAUUUUUUUUACUUUGGAGUAUCCUUCACCGUUGAAAUGAUCCUAUGCCAUUUAUUAUCUGAAAACCAUUGCAACGAGGGCAAACAAGGGAUGGGCAACACUGACCUUGUGAUUAUUUCUUUCUCAGUGUAAUAAACCCAAAUGAACAUGAAGUGGUAUUUUUGUAGUCUCUAAGCUGCCAGUACUACAUUGUGUCUCUGAAAGAGAUGGAGUGAAAAAAAAUUAAAUUAGUAAGCUGUUCUUCCUAUAGUGACAUUUUUGGGAUUGAUUGAUUAAAGCUACCAAAAUAUUCAAUAUCCAGGGAACAGAAGAACCAUUGAUGACAUGAUGUUUUUGCUGUUUGUUUUCAGAUGCUCAUUUGAGCAAUGAAUGAUUCGUCUCUUUAGCUCUUGUAUUCUGGGCUUUUGAGGAAUGAUCAGUCUUGUAUCCAUUGCUCCUUUGUUCACUUUGUGCUUCAAGGCCUCUGUAGGUGGACUGUCUCUUCCAAAGCGUCCUCAGGCAAGCUAUUUCUCUGGUUUAAAAUUUCUGCUUUUGUUAAGCUGCUCAUAAUCCAUAACCUGGAUCCUUCCUGUUGCAUCAGAAGCCCAUAGUUUUAGUCCUGUCCACCGCUGGCACAGGGAACAACAGAUUGUUUCCUUCCUCUUUGCAACAUAUUUUUAUCUGGUCUUAACUUUAAAAAAAUUAUUCUCAGACUUCUUUUUUAGGCUAAACAGCAUUGAAAGGCCCACUAAAAUCAAGUACAUCAAUGUUCUGUCUCUCCUGUCCAAAGGGCAUGUUAGUCUGGUAUAAAAUGAAUUGUGAUUGGUAUGACAUCAUUUGAUGUUGGUUCAUACCUUCUUAUCUUUGAGGUACUUGCAAGGGGGUUUUUUGAUUACU